rnacentral:lncRNA from 12 species
CCAAAUUGCCAAUAAGUAUCACAACCUUAAUAAUGUUUCCUCUCCUUUAUACAGUAAUUCCAUUAUUUAGGAAUCUCUGGGAAGAACGUGGACAAAGAGCCAUGCCCAAAAUUUCCCUUGUGGCCCUGGGUAUGGAGAACCUGAGGGCUCAGACCAUAAAUCCACGUGCCAUGAAAGAUCGGCAUAGAGCAGACGCAUCAAUCAACUGAGUCACCAGGCUGGAUGCUGGUAAAGAUAAAAAGAAAAAAUCAUUAACACAGAGAACUGCCUUUGAGUUUAUAGUGUAGUGUGGAAGACAAAAUAUAUACACACCAUGUUUUUGGUUUGUUGGUGCAUAAUCUUGAUAACCUGGAACAUGUUUCUGCAUUUUCUCUCUGUUACCGGAAUCUCCUGUCUUUGAUCCUCUAUGCAAGCUUGUGGACAUCUUAGCUGGAAGACGGAGUACUAAUUUAAUUGAGGAAAGCAUAUUAAUGAGGAACUGAAGGUAAAGGUGAUGGAGCCCGUCCUAGAAAGACCUACAGAUACUCAUGGAAAGCUUAAGGACAAGACAGUCCUUGCAUGACAAAUGUCAGAUGAAUGCUGUAGAAUCUGAGAGGGAAAAGAGAUGAGAUGGGCUUUGGAGGGACAAGGAGAAGUCUCCUGCAGGAAGUGAGUGAACUAGGUUUUGAGAUGAGCAAGAAGACCACACUAUGCAGACAGAGCUUGGACCCUAGCAGAAGUUCUAGGACCCCCAAGUGGGGCACAAAAUCAGCAGUAUAAUUGUUGGGGAGUUGAGGGAACAGUCACAUGGACACAGUGAGGGAGGUCCCAAUGGUGGCUGCAUAGAACAGUGGAUGCCGAUGUGAACCAAGGACUAGAUGGACCCUUGCUCCAGUGUGAUGGCUUUAUUCAUAUCUCUUCAAACCAGCCUAAACCCCAGUUUGAUGAUGGCAGUGAGGAGAGGAGACUCCAGGUUAACUGAAAAGACACUGUCCUAUUCUAGUGAAGUGGGGCUCGAAAUUAACAUUGAAUAGAGGUUUGGAAAGCAAAGAAAGCCAGUUUUCUUGUACACUUAUAUUUGCAGACUGAGAUGUACUAUUUGUGUCUCUAUGACAAUCUUACUAAAUGUUCAUGCUGCUGGCUUGGGAAGGGAGCCCAGGGAGGCCCUUGUCUCCAGGGCCCAUCAUCAGUCCUAUGGCACCUAUGACUUAACAGAGAUUGACUUACUUG